AUCUUUUUUUUAUUCAUUUAUGAAUAUGAAAAUUUUUUCUUUUGUAAAGAGUGGGGGGUUUUAAAUAUAUUCGCAAAACCUCGCUUUCGCUCGGUUUGCUUAAAAAAUCAUUAAUGAUCCUUCCGCAGGUUCACCUACGGAAA
rnacentral:misc_RNA from 1 species